rnacentral:rRNA from 1 species
AUUGAACGCUGGCGGCAGGCCUAACACAUGCAAGUCGAGCGGAUGAAGGGAGCUUGCUCCUGGAUUCAGCGGUGGACGGGUGAGUAAUGCCUAGGAAUCUGCCUGGUAGUGGGGGAUAACGUCCGGAAACGGGCGCUAAUACCGCAUACGUCCUGAGGGAGAAAGUGGGGGAUCUUCGGACCUCACGCUAUCAGAUGAGCCUAGGUCGGAUUAGCUAGUUGGUGGGGUAAAGGCCUACCAAGGCGACGAUCCGUAACUGGUCUGAGAGGAUGAUCAGUCACACUGGAACUGAGACACGGUCCAGACUCCUACGGGAGGCAGCAGUGGGGAAUAUUGGACAAUGGGCGAAAGCCUGAUCCAGCCAUGCCGCGUGUGUGAAGAAGGUCUUCGGAUUGUAAAGCACUUUAAGUUGGGAGGAAGGGCAGUAAGUUAAUACCUUGCUGUUUUGACGUUACCAACAGAAUAAGCACCGGCUAACUUCGUG